GAAACAUUACAACUUGUUUCUUCUUAAACAAAAACAGUUUUAAUACAUUUCAGUGAGACAGAUGCAAGUGACCACAAUGAUUCCAGUGCAUUGACCAUCACCAAGAAAAGAAAGAGCCUUCACUGGAAAAAGAAAGAAAGAAAAAAUAACAGGGUGCCCUGGACCAAAGCUGACACUGAAAUCCUUAAGCGCAUAUUUCAUCCAUGUAUUACAUCAAAUAAGCCUCCAACAAAAAAUGAUGUUUUAUUAGGGACAAGGAAAAACACGUAUGUGAAAACAAUGUUCGAAAAAAGAGGCUGGAAGUGUAUUAAGUAUUACAUUUGGAGCCUGACACAGCAGCAUCAGAAAAAAAAGAUGAAGCUUUUGCAAGCAUCUUAUUUGCGGAACUAAAUCUAUGUUCUGUUCGUCAAGAAAUGUUUUGAUUCCAAUAAUGAAGAGUGUGCCGUUUUGGGUGUUUUACUUUACUUUUAUUUACUUGUGACGACGAAAUGACUCGGUUGAAUUAAUUCCAUUUCUUGGAAGAACCUAGGAUAGAAUUAUCUACGUACAUUUGUUUUGCAUCCAAUAAUGCACUGUAUAUGUACUUAUAUCAGCAAUUGUUAAUUGGUGCUCUGAAUGAGUUAGACAUUUAGUACAUACAAUUUUCUCCUCACAAAAUUUAAAUAAUUUUCUUGCGAAUUCCCUUUGAACAUUUAGCUUGAAUCCUUAUGUCUCCAUCACCGUCAGUCUUUGCCUUUGUGGCAAAAUCCUCAAUGUUUAUUCUAAGGCUUCUUCUGUUUCUUAAUAAUAAUUCCAUUCACUCUCCAAAAUAACUCAUCUUAAUUUGAUCCAGGGAAAUACCUGUAUUUGACAUUUAAGUGGCAAUGCAAGAUAUACAAGCGAAUGUUUGUUACCACUAUUUUUCAUUAAAAAAGAUAAAAUUAGGACCUGUUUCAUUUGUAUGGAUGAUUUUAAAUAUAUAUAAUCAAUGUCAUCAAGGUCAUAUAUUGGAAUAAGAAAUCCUGACCUUUUACAUAGUACUAUGGAAGUAUUAGAGAACUCUCAAUGAUAACAAAUCUCAGAUAUAGUGCAGAGGAAAAUGUGAAAUGUUACAUUGUAUGUGUUUAUUUAAUGCAAUAUUGCAUUCAAUAUUAGUAUGAUGCCAUGUUAUUUUCAACUUACUACAUUUCAUGUUUAAGCCUAAGGCUAUUUGGAUAUGUAUACCCUUCGAUGCAAAACAAUGCAAUGUUUGAUAUCUUUUGAAGACAGAGAUUUGUUUUUUUGAAUUUCAGUUAUUGUUUAAUUUGUUAUUGAAGAUAAAAAAUGUUCACUGUUGAGUUGAUAGAUUCAGCAGGUGCUUGUGGGGAACAACUUAGUAUCUCUCUGUGAAGAGGGUUUAUGAGGAAUACAUUCUCACUGACAAUUGUUUGUGAGGAACUUAGUAUCUCUCUGUGAAGAGGGUUUAUGGGGAAUACAUUCUCACUGAUAAGUGUUUGUGAGGACCUUAGUAUCUCUCUGUGAAGAGAGUUUAUGAGGAAUACAUUCUCACUGAUAAGUGUUUGUGGGGAACAUCUUGGUAUCUCUCUGUGAAAAGGCUUUAUGAGGAAUACAUUCUCACUGAUAAGUGUUUGUGGGGAACAUCUUCGUAUCUCUCUGUGAAAAGGCUUUAUGAUUGAUGAAUACAUUCUCAAUGAUAAGUGUUUUUAGAGAAUUUAUAGUACUAUAUUUCUGUCGGGUAGACUUAUUAUCCAUCUGAUGAAGGUUUAAAGGGAUUAUUUAUUGCAGGUAUUAUAUGGUGAAUAUUUAGGUCCCCCCUCAAUCCCCCCUUGAAGAAAGCGUUUAUGAGGCAUAAAUCUCUUACGGAGGUGUUCCAAAUGAUCCCCAUAAAAUUGUCUUUGCCCCAUAUACUAAAACGGAGAGAGAACUUGGAUAUGGUUUAAUAUUUGGAAAUAGCUGAAAGUGAGAGAGAGAGAGAGAGAGAGAGAGAGAGAGAGAGAUGGUUAUUUAUGAAUAAUUUAAUAGAUUAUUAAUAAAAUCAUAUAAAACAUUA